UUGAACGCUGGCGGCAUGCCUUACACAUGCAAGUCGAACGGCAGCACGGGUGCUUGCACCUGGUGGCGAGUGGCGAACGGGUGAGUAAUACAUCGGAACAUGUCCUGUAGUGGGGGAUAGCCCGGCGAAAGCCGGAUUAAUACCGCAUACGAUCUACGGAUGAAAGCGGGGGACCUUCGGGCCUCGCGCUAUAGGGUUGGCCGAUGGCUGAUUAGCUAGUUGGUGGGGUAAAGGCCUACCAAGGCGACGAUCAGUAGCUGGUCUGAGAGGACGACCAGCCACACUGGGACUGAGACACGGCCCAGACUCCUAAGGGAGGCAGCAGUGGGGAAUUUUGGACAAUGGGCGAAAGCCUGAUCCAGCAAUGCCGCGUGUGUGAAGAAGGCCUUCGGGUUGUAAAGCACUUUUGUCCGGAAAGAAAUCCUUGGCCCUAAUACGGUCGGGGGAUGACGGUACCGGAAGAAUAAGCACCGGCUAACUACGUG
rnacentral:rRNA from 1 species